rnacentral:misc_RNA from 1 species
GUAGGGAUCAUUUCCGGUAAAAAAAGCGAAAGCUUUUUUAACCAAAACCUACCUUGUGCAAUGGAGCACACGGCUCGUGCAUCGAUGAAGCCCGCGGCAAAAAGCGAUAUGUAAUGAGAUUCGUUAGCCUCGAGAUUCAUCAAAUUGGUGAACACAUACUGGACCUCUUCGGAGGUACUUGCGUUAGAGUGCUAGUUUUAUAUCAAUUGAUCCUGGUAAAAGGUGUAUUAUAUCGUAAGAUAUUUCACGCUCUAGCCAGUGAAGCCGGAUUUUCUUUGGAGAAUCCGGAUUGUUCCUGUUAGAGUUGCAUAGUCCUUAUCACAAGGUUUCUUUACAACGGACAUAUAGUACGGAAUCUACGGACCCCGAAAUAUGAAAGGUUAUCAUUCAACCCCUCCAUCAUUGUCUAGAUUUUGAAGGUUAAGGAGGCCCUACUGAGGUUAAUAUACGUGUUUACAUAUUAUUAUCUCGAUCAAGGCAAUAACUUCGCUAACAUAUAGGGCAAUCAACCCAUUUAUUAUAACUGGCCUCUAAUGUGAGAGGGUACCCCCUGGAUUUAAGCAUAUUAAUAAGGGGAGGAAAAGAAAUCAACAGAGAUUCUCCUAGUACCUGCGAGGGAAAAGAGAAAAGCCCAUCCUGAAUCUAAGGUUUUGCCUUGGAGUUGUGGGGUGCGGAUGCUGUUCCUUGGAUAGAGAAUCGUGAAAUUACCUGCAAAGGUAUUCACAAGUGAAUCCAUAGAGGGUGUUAGGCCCGUUAGCGGUUCGUUCUGUCCUGUAAGGAAUGGUAUCUACGAGUAGGAUUGUUUGAUAGUACAAUCUGAAUAUAGGGGAUAAACUUCCUCUAAGGCUAAAUAUAAUGCACGAGACCGUUAGUAAACAAGUACCGUGAGGGAACGUUGAAAAGUACUCUGGUAAGAGGGUGAAAAGAGUGUGAAAUUGCAUAGGUUUAAGCGUAACCAAGUACCGAAUCCUGUAGUGUUCUCUUUGGUUCAUUAUAGGUAUCUAACAACUCUGUUCCUGUCAUUAGACGGGGAUUGGGCUACACAUGUCAAUAAUGCCGUUGUAGAUGCGUCUUACAGAUGAAAGUCUUGUUGCUGUGUCCUCGCUUCACGGCUUGGAUGUGGUACCGGGGCCGUAGCCUUUAGGAUGUGUCGCAAACGACCGGUCAUCUGACAUAUUGUUGGUAUGGUAUUUGGGAACGUCCCGUCUUGAAACACGGACCAAGGAGUCUAGCAUAUCUGCAAGCCGUAGCAAUUUUAAUUGUGAAGGCGUAAUGAAAGUGUAUUGUGUUAACAGCACAAACCGGGCCUUUCGGUCUGAGUUAGAGUAAAUAUGCUAGUACCCGAAAGGUGAUGAACUAUGCCCGGACUGGUUGAAGCCAGGAGAAAUCCUGGUGGAGGACCUCCCGCGGUGCUGACGUGCAAAUCGCUCGUCCGAGCUGGGUAUAGGAGCGAAAGACUCAUCGAAUCGCCUAGUAGCUGGUUCCUGC